AACCCUUAUUAGUGUGACCCAAUUAGGUUCAAUUCUGUAUGGUAAUGAGAUAUGUCGUGAUCUCAUCAUCGACAUCAUCGAAACUCCUUUCGAUGGAUCAGAACUCUUCUGAUUCAGACAAUUAGAAUGAUCGAUCAUCAAGAUCAUUCUAAUUGCUCUCAAAAUCCACCAGUAACACCUAGCAGUAUAUGGUGGCAACCCAUCAGAACUGAAGAUGAACCUCUCGGUGCAGCUACUUGUGUGAUUGAGUUCCUCUAUCAUGAGUCCCGAC
rnacentral:lncRNA from 1 species